UAUGAUAGGGGUUAAUGUCUUAAUAAUCACCUAACCCAGACCUUGAAUGUACACCCCCUAACCUUCUAAAUCAUUGACCCAUAACCCAUAACCCUUCUAAAUAUGCAAUGUGAUUUAUUCCCAUUGCUCUGCAUGUCAAAGUAAAUAAAUUCAACCACGUACGGGAAAACGAAGGGAGUAACUGUGACUAUAUUAAGGUAUCUAGAUGCCUCGACAUAUAAUUAGUGACGCACAUGAAUGGAUCAUUAAAUAGAUUUCCCACUAUCCCUAGCUACUAUAUUCUAGAGAAAACACAUCUAAGGGAAUGGGCUUGGGAGAAUUAGCAGGGAAAGAAGACCCUCAUGUUGAGCUUGACUCUAGUCCUAACCCAUUCAUAGUUUGGGAAAAUUAGGGCAUAGUUUGGGAAACUUAGACCAUAAAAUUUGUCUUUCGGAUUCAAAUUGAUGAUGGAAAAAAGUGAGUGUGUGAGUCAAAUUUGAGUCCAGAAACCCUGCCAUAUCAUUAAGGCAUGUGAAUAGUCUA
rnacentral:ncRNA from 1 species